UACGUAGGUCCCGAGCGUUGUCCGGAUUUAUUGGGCGUAAAGCGAGCGCAGGUGGUUUACUAAGUCUGAUGUGAAAGCCUUCGGCUUAACCGGAGUAGUGCAUUGGAAACUGGGAGACUUGAGUGCAGAAGAGGAGAGUGGAACUCCAUGUGUAGCGGUGAAAUGCGUAGAUAUAUGGAAGAACACCAGUGGCGAAAGCGGCUCUCUGGUCUGUAACUGACGCUGAGGUUCGAAAGCGUGGGUAGCAAACAGG
rnacentral:rRNA from 1 species